CGACCCACCCCAACAGCGAUCUCCCAUAGUCUCAUCCCGUUUCCCACGCUUGCUUUAGCAAAUAAAGAUAACCGACCUGGCCUCCCCAUCCCGUCGCAGCGCGGCGCCGCGGCCCUCCCCUAUCUCCUCCGGUGAGCGCCGCUCCGGCCGACGCGCAACUCCCUCCGACGGCGGAGCUCGGUGAUUUCGGUGAGGAGACGAGGAGGAGGAGGAGCUCUGCUGGUGUGGAGGAAGGCAGGGGCGGAGGAGGAGAACGACGACUGGAUCUCAACCACGGAACCGGCCGCCCAACCACAGCGGCGGAACCUUCCGCUGCCGCACUCCACCGCGGAAGCAGCAGCAGCCACCCUCCAGUCGGCGAGCUCCAGCCCCAAGAGUUGAAUUGACCGCCCCCUCGAUCUUGAUCCUCUAAUCAACAACGAUUCUUUUUUUUUUUCUUCGUCUCCCGGCGGCGGCAAGAGGCCCCCCCCCCCCCCCCCCCCCCAAUUCUCAGCCGGGUUGACUCUCCGCGAGCAUUUUAGCUUGCCAUCCUCAUGAACUAAGCGAACUCCUGUUAGUGUUACUCCAUUUUGUGUGAGGUGACAAUGGCCGCUCUUCACGUGUUUGAUCAAAUGCCUUUUGCAUCUUUCAGGUUUUCCAUGGCUUCACAUUGCAUAUUUUGCUUCUUUGAAGUGAUUGCUCGGUUAUUCCAUUACAGCUCAGAGGAAGGGCUCUUGGAGAUAUCCAAGGCAAAUGUAGAAUGGUAAAAUACAUGGGGAUGCACUAUUUCAAGUUCAAUGGCAGCUCUUUGCCUAGGCAGGUAUCAGCUUGCUCUGAGAUCGACCCAUCAGGGGGAGAUCAGAAGUAAAUUCUUGGAGAAACCAAUUGCACAGAAAUAGGUAAUAAAAGAUUAUCUGUGAGUCACCAAAGAAAAAAAACGUAGGUAUAUAUUCCAUGCCGCUGCACCUACAAAAAAGAACAGCAGAUGUGGUUUGGUCAGUAGCUGAAAGAAACAUUAAGAAAACAUACCUGAAUGUUCAGAAGGAGUACUUUCAGCCUGCAGAAGUGCAGAUGGACAACAGCAUGUGUUAGCAUACCUGUUUCUUUACCUUAAAAAAAAACAUAAACUGUUUCCUGUCCCUGUUGUAGAUAUGCUCUUCUUUGUUCCAUUGCUAGAUUAUUUUUUUUAAAUAUAACUUUAUUGUUUAUGUAGAGCACAGCUAUACAUAUCACCGAGCAAUGUGUAAAAAAUAUGUCAGCAUGGUCUUUAUUAUUUUUUAGAAUCAGUUGCACUAAAACCACACAAAAAUUUAGGAACGGAGGGAGUACUUACAAAUAUACAUGAACCUUGGCUAGACUGCUAGAGUAUCACAUGCCACUCAUAAAUCAUGAUUCCACAAGCCAUUUCCAAUUCAGAAUCAUGCAAAAGGCUGUCUGUGUUCAGGAAUAUGCUCAUUUCAGCAGAAAAAAAAUCAACUGGAGACAACUGAAGCAAGAGGAAGAACCAUGCAUAUUCUAUGAAGAAUACUGUCAUUAGUUCACCACAAAGAACAAGUUACAUAUGUGCCCUAUCCUCACCCAGAAAGACACAGAACAUCAGAAUAUUUUUUUCAGUGUGUUUUGGUUGAAAGACAGAUGCUAUAAAGGUUCUUUUCACUUCGUCAAGUAAAAUGUCUAAGGCGUGAUAUUCAACUAUUUGCUGAUGAUGUGUGCAAGCUACUUCAAUGGAUUUUUUUUUUGAGGCUGACAAUAUGCUAGGAUAGAUAGAAAGAUCAUCACAGGCUACAGAAACAAUCAAGGAGCAUAGUCAAGAAAGUAAGUACAAGUCUGGUUGUAGGCAGUGUCCUUGUAAUAUGAGAGACAUUCCUUUCUUUGUAAAUUUAUAAUCGUGCAAUUAAAUUGAUAGGUAAAUUUUAAAUGAGUGGCACUUGGAUACAUAAUCUUAGCCACCGGACGAUCAAACGUUCUUCAAUUUGUGGUGUAUGUUUUUUAGACCAGACCACAUCUUUGAAUAUUUGUUGUACAAUUUAAAGAGAAAAAAGUUGUUUGAUGCGUA